rnacentral:rRNA from 1 species
UACGUAGGGUGCAAGCGUUGUCCGGAAUUAUCUGGGCGUAAAGGGCUCGUAGGCGGCCAACUAAGUCAGACGAUGAAAUCCCGUCGGCCUUAACCGGGGAAUGGCGUCUGAUACUGGAUGGCUUGAAUCCGGGAGAGGGAUGCGGAAUUCCAGGUGUAGCGGUGAAAUGCGUAGAUAUCUGGAGGAACACCGGUGGCGAAGGCGGCAUCCUGGACCGGCAUUGACGCUGAGGAGCGAAAGCCAGGGGAGCAACGG